rnacentral:tRNA from 1 species
GCAGCCGUGGCCGAGUGGUUAAGGAGAUGGACUAGGAAUCCAUUGGGGUCUCCCUUUGUCGACUGCA